rnacentral:rRNA from 1 species
AUUGAACGCUGGCGGCAGGCCUAACACAUGCAAGUCGAGCGGAUGAAGGGAGCUUGCUCCUGGAUUCAGCGGCGGACGGGUGAGUAAUGCCUAGGAAUCUGCCUGGUAGUGGGGGAUAACGUCCGGAAACGGGCGCUAAUACCGCAUCCGUCCUGAGGGAGAAAGUGGGGGAUCUUCGGACCUCACGCUAUCAGAUGAGCCUAGGUCGGAUUAGCUAGUUGGUUGGGUAAAGGCCUACCAAGGCGACGAUCCGUAACUGGUCUGAGAGGAUGAUCAGUCACACUGGAACUGAGACACGGUCCAGACUCCUACGGGAGGCAGCAGUGGGGAAUAUUGGACAAUGGGCGAAAGCCUGACCCAGCCAUGCCGCGUGUGUGAAGAAGGUCUUCGGAUUGUAAAGCACUUUAAGUUGGGAGGAAGGGCAGUAAGUUAAUACCUUGCUGUUUUGACGUUACCAACAGAAUAAGCACCGGCUAACUUCGUG